GCGUACUGACGAUUGCCACGAUAGUUCGGGAUGGCCUCGUAGCAAAUGAAGAAUAUGACGCCUGUCCGAAGACCUUAUAGGGCUCUCUACCUCCCACCACAUCUUGGUAAUAACAAUUGUUUUCCUACUACAUCAUACCUAAUUUUAUCUAGCUGUCGGCAUAACCGAGAAAAAAAUUAUUGAGUUUCACAAAAAUUACUCAAUGAUUUCACGAAUCACCAAUAGCUUGCCAAACGAAGGAAUUAUCCUCGUGAUUAGACAGUGGAUAUAGCCGACUAUGUCUGCACGAUUUCUUGAAGUAAAAUCGUCGAAUCAUCGGUCGUUGACCUCUUUGAUAAACCAUCACCGUUAAAUAUGAAUCGAAAAAAAAAUUAUACAUGCUGCUGGUUAACUAGGUAUGACAUUGCCAAUUUAUCUUUGCACCGGAAGUUUUUUUUCCGUAACGUUCCAUUGAUAGAUAUUUGUACCAACGUUUCCUAUACUUUGAACUAUAUUUAAUAGCUAAAUAUAAGCAUACCAGGAAUUUGUUGUGAUUAUUGUGACAAGAUAACCAUUCCUUCAGUGUUUUAGCAUCCUGAUGCUAUUUGUCAUGCUCUUCGAAGGGGUGCAAUAAGUGAGCAGUAUAGUAAUUACGAGACAGGAUGUCAGGUUCAAAGAACAUCCGUUGAAAAAAUGAUGCAAAACGGUAGAGUAAAUAAUAGCGGAGACUCCGAUUGCUUUCACAUUCGUGAAAUAUUUUCCCACUUAAAUUCAAUUCGAUUGAUUUCAAUCACAACGCUUGAGACUUUGUUUUAUUCUGUUUUCUCUACCACUGUUAUCUGGACUCUAUGCCCCACACAUCUUGAAUUGUGUUAAACCAUAUUUUUUAGCUUACAAUUAGAUCAAAGAAUGCAAACGCAGCAUGUAAAAACAGGUAUAAUGUACCCACAAAAGAUGUCGCAAAAAUUUGAUAUCGUACGAAAUAGGUCACACGAUACUCGUAUUUAAAAGUUCCCCGUUUGUGUUAGCAUAUUUUUGGCGAUUGCCAUAGAGAAAAUAUAUCACAAGCCUCAAUUUCAGGAGAUCGCGCUUCAUAGCUGCUCAACUAUGACUGUGAGCAAUUAUAUUCUACAGAACUUUGACUAAUCACAAUUGCCUCGUAACUUGAUUACUAAAAGCCACCACGUGAUAUAAACUCCCUCGAAAAGUUCUGACAAAUUUCGGGGCUCUUAAGCGAACAGGUGCAACUUAAAUUAUAACAUGUGCACAAAAACUGAAGGCCUGACUUGUAUACUUGAUUCGCUGACAAAACUUCCUUACGUCUGAUGACGCAGUUUAGAACCAACAACGGCAUGAUACGUCUACAUUUCGAGAUUGUGUGUUUCGUUGAUGCUCCUACCGGGCAAUUUUCAUAUCUAGGAGUACUUUUCAGUCCAAGCAUGUAAUUCCAAGAACUGUAACCAUCUCUUUGCGUUACCUGACACAAUCCCCGUGUUGCGUAACAGUACAACAUGUCUACUACGUGAGCUUCGAAACUUUGGAAUAACUAUCUUUGACCAGAAAUGAUAACAAAAUGGAGAUAAGGUUACGUCUUUUUUGGUGAUUCAACCAAUAACUGCUGAAAUAUGGAGAAUGUUUGGAAUUGCAGAAAAGAGCAAUGAGAGGUAAUUUACAUUCAGAAUAUUAUAAGACUGCACAAGCUUUUCUUUGAUAAACGAGUUGUGCAUGAUUUAUUGUUUAGAUGAUAUAUUAUGUUUGUUGACUUGAAACAUACAUGUAUUAUACUUGCAAUGGUACCAGUGUCAAUUAAUUCACGAGUACGUGGUCACAUGAGUAUAUUUUCACACCUAUUCGAGCAGAUGAAUUCGAUUUGUACAAAUAAGUUGUUUGUCAUCUAGAAAUAAGUUCGAUUCUGCUCUUAGCUAUUCGUUGGCAAGGUUCGAUACUUAUCUUAUA